UUCUGAUAUCCUUCUUUUUGUGAGGCAACCACACAACUGCAGCAUAUUCAAGUUUUGGUCUUAUCAGUGUUGUUAUUAUUUUCUUCAUCAUUUCUUUGUCCAUAUAAUUGAAUGAUACCCUUAUAUUUUGCAUCAUCCUGUAGGUUUCUCCAAAUAACUUGUUUAUGUGCUUUUCUGGGGAUAGUGUGUCUUGCAUCGUUGCUCCUAAAUCUUUUUCUUCGUGUAUCACCUUUAAGUUUUCUUCUCCCAGGCAGGCAGACAAAAUAUACACUGAACCCUCGUUGGCACAGGGCAAAAAAAACAGUCACUCAUUGGUUGAUUUUAUUUUUUGAUCAUAUAGACAUACACAGGCAACAGCUACACUGGUAUUCAAAUUCAAUGAUGGUUUACAUUUGUACGGAGCCAAUGAAACCUGUAACUUAUUCACACACGCGGUGCACCUCAAAGUUUCUUGUUCUGUGUAGCACUUUGUUUUGUGAGGUCAGGUUAAGUUUGUCAGGUUAAGGUUAAGUUUGUCAGGUUAAGGUUAAGUUUGUCAGGUGAAGGUUAAGUUGUCAGGUAAAGGUUAAGUUUGUCAGGUUACUUUGUCAGGUGAAGGUUAAGUUUGUCAGGUUACUUUGUCAGGUGAAGGUUAAGUUUGUCAGGUUACUUUGUCAGGUGAAGGUUAAGUUUGUCAGGUUACUUUGUCAGGUGAAGGUUAAGUUUGUCAGGUUACUUUGUCAGGUGAAGGUUAAGUUUGUCAGGUUAAGGUUAAGUUUGUCAGGUUACUUUGUCAGGUUAAGGUUAAGUUUGUCAGGUGAAGGUUAAGUUUGUCAGGUUAAGGUUAAGUUUGUCAGGUUACUUUGUCAGGUUAAGGUUAAGUUUGUCAGGUGAAGGUUAAGUUUGUCAGGUGAAGGUUAAGUUUGUCAGGUUAAGGUUAAGUUUGUCAGGUUAAGGUUAAGUUUGUCAGGUGAAGGUUAAGUUUGUCAGGUGAAGGUUAAGUUUGUCAGGUUACUUUGUCAGGUGAAGGUUAAGUUUGUCAGGUUAAGGUUAAGUUUGUCAGGUUAAGGUUAAGUUUGUCAGGUAAAGGUUAAGUUUGUCAGGUUAAGGUUAAGUUUGUCAAGUAAAGGUUAAGUUUGUCAGGUUAAGGUUAAGUUUGUCAAGUAAAGGUUAAGUUUGUCAGGUUAAGGUUAAGUUUGUCAAGUAAAGGUUAAGUUUGUCAGGUUAAGGUUAAGUUUGUCAAGUAAAGGUUAAGUUUGUCAGGUUAAGGUUAAGUUUGUCAGGUUAAGGUUAAGUUUGUCAGGUGAAGGUUAAGUUGUCAGGUUAAGGUUAAGUUUGUCAAGUAAAGGUUAAGUUUGUCAGGUUAAGGUUAAGUUUGUCAGGUGAAGGUUAAGUUUGUCAGGUGAAGGUUAAGUUGUCAGGUUAAGGUUAAGUUUGUCAGGUGAAGGUUAAGUUUGUCAGGUUAAGGUUAAGUUUGUCAGGUAAAGGUUAAGUUUGUCAGGUGAAGGUUAAGUUUGUCAGGUUAAGGUUAAGUUUGUCAGGUUACUUUGUCAGGUGAAGGUUAAGUUUGUCAGGUUAAGGUUAAGUUUGUCAGGUUACUUUGUCAGGUUAAGGUUAAGUUUGUCAGGUGAAGGUUAAGUUUGUCAGGUAAAGGUUAAGUUUGUCAGGUUAAGGUUAAGUUUGUCAGGUAAAGGUUAAGUUUGUCAGGUGAAGGUUAAGUUUGUCAGGUGAAGGUUAAGUUUGUCAGGUGAAGGUUAAGUUUGUCAGGUAAAGGUUAAGUUUGUCAGGUUAAGGUUAAGUUUGUCAGGUUAAGGUUAAGUUUGUCAGGUAAAGGUUAAGUUUGUCAGGUUAAGGUUAAGUUUGUCAGGUUAAGGUUAAGUUUGUCAGGUUAAGGUUAAGUUUGUCAGGUUAAGGUUAAGUUUGUCAGGUUAAGGUUAAGUUUGUCAGGUGAAGGUUAAGUUUGUCAGGUGAAGGUUAAGUUUGUCAGGUUACUUUGUCAGGUUAAGGUUAAGUUUGUCAGGUAAAGGUUAAGUUUGUCAGGUGAAGGUUAAGUUUGUCAGGUUAAGGUUAAGUUUGUCAGGUUACUUUGUCAGGUUAAGGUUAAGUUUGUCAGGUUACUUUGUCAGGUUAAGGUUAAGUUUGUCAGGUAAAGGUUAAGUUUGUCAGGUUAAGGUUAAGUUUGUCAGAUUAAAUUGUUUGCUACUACUACUACUACUACUACUACUACUACUACUAUGUCUACACCUAUAGCACUGGUAGGCUUGCUUGAGGGGCCUGGAUGGUGUUCGCCCCCAGCCCGUCAUGGCGCAGGCAAGUGUUUAUAGUGGCGCCAUAGUAGAUUUGUUUUUCUAUCAUCGCAUCACAGCCUUGGCGUCAACUUUCAUGAGAUGGAUCUCUACACAAGUAUAGACACAGUAACUAAGGUAGGUAUUAUAAGACACUUUUGCUCCUAACAUCAGCUAUUUCUGAAGGUCCAAGAGGGGGUCAGUCAGGUUCUAAUGAGCGUUUCUUGAGGUUCACGGUACAGAGGAAGGGUCAAACCACCACCAGGGCCAUGAAACUACUCCUGGAAAUGCCCACAACUCCUAUGAAAGCCUUGUCAAAUGUAUGUUUCUUAGGUUCACGGUACAGAGGAAGGGUCAAACCACCACCAGGGUCAUAAAACUACCCGUGGAAAUGCCCACAACUCCUACAAAAGCCUUGUCAAUUAGGUGUUCUUGGGCAACGAAAUGUCUUCUAAUACAGGUAACUCUCGAUUUACACGAGUUUGGUUUACGCGUUUUUGAAAUGACGCGGGGCCCAAAAUCCAAAUAAAUGUUUAAUUUACACGUUUUUUCACUUCUACGUGAUAUUUUAUGGAGUGGCCACCAGAUGUCUCACGCAACUGGACUCACACGGCCACACAGCUGAGCUCAGUUCUUCCCGCGCGCCACUUGAACAACAAUACAGUACCCACGCUACUCAACAACAACAACAACAACACCCUCGCUGCUGUGCUACCACGAGGGGAAGGGCAGCCAGAGGAGGAACCACGAGAGGGAGAGGAGUCAGAGUGAUACAGUAGGCAAUAAAGGUACAAACCUACCUCUUGUUGGAUUUACUACAUUGUUUUGGAUUUACGCAAUGACCUCUUCAAGGACGCAAGACUCGCAUAAAUCGAGAGUUACCUGUA